AGCGGGAAAAGCUCAAAUUUAAAAUCUGGCAGCUUUGCUGUCCGAGUUGUAGUCUGGAGAAGCGUUUUCUGUGCUGGACCGUGUACAAGUCUCUUGGAAUAGAGCGUCAUAGAGGGUGAGAAUCCCGUCUUUGACACGGACUGCCAGUGCUCUGUGAUGCGCUCUCAAAGAGUCGAGUUGUUUGGGAAUGCAGCUCAAAAUGGGUGGUAAAUUCCAUCUAAAGCUAAAUAUUGGCGAGAGACCGAUAGCGAACAAGUACCGUGAGGGAAAGAUGAAAAGCACUUUGGAAAGAGAGUUAAACAGUACGUGAAAUUGUUGAAAGGGAAACGCUUGAAGUCAGUCGCGUCGAUCAGAACUCAGCCAUGCUCUCGUGUGGUGCAUUUUCUGGUAGACGGGCCAGCAUCAAUUUCGGCCGCUGGAAAAAGGCUUUGGGAAUGUGGCACCUUCGGGUGUGUUAUAGCCCUUGGUCACAUACAGCGGUUGGGAUUGAGGAUCUCAGCAUGCCUUUAUGGUCGGGGUUCGCCCACGCUCAUGCUUAGGAUGCUGGCGUAAUGGCUUUAAACGACCCGUCUUGAAACACGGACCAAGGAGUCUAACAUGCCUGCGAGUGUUUGGGUGGAAAACCCGAGCGCGUAAUGAAAGUGAAAGUUGGGAUCCCUGUCGUGGGGAGCACCGACGCCCGGACCAGACCUUCUGUGACGGAUCCGCGGUAGAGCAUGUAUGUUGGGACCCGAAAGAAUGGUGAACUAUGCCUGAAUAGGGUGAAGCCAGAGGAAACUCUGGUGGAGGCUCGUAGCGAUUCUGACGUGCAAAUCGAU
rnacentral:rRNA from 1 species